rnacentral:rRNA from 1 species
UACGGAGGGGGCUAGCGUUGUUCGGAAUUACUGGGCGUAAAGAGCGCGUAGGCGGCUCGACAAGUUGGAUGUGAAAGCCCGGGGCUUAACCUCGGAACUGCAUUCAAAACUGUUGAGCUAGAGUAUGGUAGGGGGUGAUGGAAUUCCUAGUGUAGAGGUGAAAUUCUUAGAUAUUAGGAGGAACACCGGUGGCGAAGGCGGUCACCUGGGCCAUUACUGACGCUGAGGCGCGAAAGCGUGGGGAGCAAACAGG